CUUUCUUUUAUUUAUUUUUACCAACUGUUAUUGCUUUUUCUAUUUGCUCGCCCUCUGUUUUGUUUUGCUAACUGAUGCUCUGAUUUGUUUAGGUACAAUGACCAGUGGAUCUGCCGCUCUCCGCAAAGCUCGUGCUGCCAAGAACAAGAGGGAGGCGAGCAGUGCUGCUACAACUUCUUCUGCCCCUCAGUCUCCCACAGCUUCC
rnacentral:lncRNA from 1 species